rnacentral:rRNA from 2 species
AGACCCGAAACCCGGUGAUCUAGCCAUGGGCAGGUUGAAGGUUGGGUAACACUAACUGGAGGACCGAACCGACUAAUGUUGAAAAAUUAGCGGAUGACCUGUGGCUGGGGGUGAAAGGCCAAUCAAACCGGGAGAUAGCUGGUUCUCCCCGAAAGCUAUUUAGGUAGCGCCUCGUGAAUUCAUCUCCGGGGGUAGAGCACUGUUUCGGCUAGGGGGCCAUCCCGGCUUACCAACCCGAUGCAAACUGCGAAUACCGGAGAAUGUUAUCACGGGAGACACACGGCGGGUGCUAACGUCCGUCGUGAAGAGGG